CCUGGCUGGCCUGUCCCCCCCGGGGGGCUGGGGGCCACUGCAUUCCCCAUGCCCCUGCACACCCACGUCUAGAGACGAGACGCCCCGUGACCUCAGGACUCGUUUAAUAGUGACGAUGGAGCCCUGCUCUUCCAGGGCAUCGCCGUCCUCCUCUGGGUAGUGGAAAGCCACGCAGAGCUGGUACAGAUGCCCGCCAUGACAGCCAGGGCACCCGCCAAGUAGGCGGUGAUGAAGUUCCCCUUCGUCUCUUCGCUGGUGACCCUCUGUGCGACGCCGCUCAGGGUGAUUAUCUGGAGAAGAGGGGUGUGCCCACCUCAGCCCCACCAGCCCUGUACUGAGACACCCCCUCCACUGACACCACGGUGCGGUGAGGCGAGGGCCGUGCCGGUGCCACCUCCAUGGUUUUGCUCCUUGGACACUGGACAGGCACUGGCAGGGAGGUGGUUGCUGCUCUCACUUGUGGUUUUGACAGGAAAGCAGUCAAAUUAUUAGCAAUUAA